CCCUUAGAUGUUCUGGGCUGCACGCGCGCUACACUGACACUAUCAACGAGUGCUCCUGGUUUGAAAGGAUCGGGUAAUCUUUUGAAAUGGUGUCGUGAUGGGGAUAGAUCAUUGCAAUUAUUGAUCUUGAACGAGGAAUUCCUAGUAAAUGUGAGUCAUCAGCUCACGUUGAUUACGUCCCUGCCCUUUGUACACACCGCCCGUCGCUCCUACCGAUUGAGUGAACCGAUGAGUAGUCCGGAUUGCGAUCGACCUCGGUUAAUCGCGAGAAGUUCCGCAAAUCACUUCACUUAGAGGUAGGAGAAGUCGUAACA
rnacentral:rRNA from 1 species